UACGAAGGGUGCAAGCGUUACUCGGAAUUACUGGGCGUAAAGCGUGCGUAGGUGGUUUGUUAAGUCUGCUGUGAAAGCCCCGGGCUCAACCUGGGAAUGGCAGUGGAUACUGGCAAGCUAGAGUGCGGUAGAGGGGUGUGGAAUUCCCGGUGUAGCGGUGAAAUGCGUAGAGAUCGGGAGGAACACCAGUGGCGAAGGCGGCUCACUGGCCCGAUACUGACGCUGAGGCACGAAAGCGUGGGGAGCAAACAGG
rnacentral:rRNA from 1 species